rnacentral:rRNA from 1 species
AAGGAUCAUUACUAUAUGCCUGCGCUUAAUUGCGCGGUUUCUACACACGUGUUUUUUUAUGUAAACUUGCUUUGGCGUGUUCUCGCGCCAGAGGUUAACUCAAACUAAUUUUAUUAUUGUCAACUGAAGAAAUCUUCAAAACUUUCAACAACGGAUCUCUUGGUUCUCGCAUCGAUGAAGAACGCAGCGAAAUGCGAUAAGUAAUAUGAAUUGCAGAUAUUCGUGAAUCAUCGAAUCUUUGAACGCACAUUGCGCCCUUUGGUAUUCCAGAGGGCAUGCCUGUUUGAGCGUCAUUUCUCUCUCAAACCUCUGGUUUGGUAUUGAGUGAUAGCCUUUCUGGGUUCGCUUGAAAUUUGUCGGCGUAGCAGUGCUGGAAAUCAAUGUAUUAGGUUCUACCAACUCGUUGAAUACAGUGCAUGGCGACGCCAUACAAACACACCAAGUUUGACCUCAAAUCAGGUAGGAUUACCCGCUGAACUUAA